GUCCACGCUGUAAACGAUGCAUGCUAGACGCUGGGGGUUGCCCUUCGGUGUCGCAGCUAACGCUUUAAGCAUGCCGCCUGGGGAGUACGGCCGCAAGGUUAAAACUCAAAGGAAUUGACGGGGGCCCGCACAAGCGGUGGAGCAUGUGGUUUAAUUCGAUGCAACGCGAAGAACCUUACCAGCUCUUGACAUGGGGAGUAUGGGACGGAGAGAUCUGUCCCUUCAGUUCGGCUGGCUCCCACACAGGUGCUGCAUGGCUGUCGU
rnacentral:rRNA from 1 species